GGGAAUUGUCCUUUUUGAAACUCAUUUUUUAAAUGCUAUUUUUAUUUUGUAUUUGGGAAUUUAAAACUUAUUCCAAAAUUUAUAAAAGGGAGAUUCUCAUAAACACCAUCAUUUUAUGUUUUUUUUUUUUUUUGUCAUCUCAAUAACUAAAUUACAAGUUUAACGGGAACAAAUUCUCCUCUAUGAAGAACCACAUUGACAUUCUGAUCGGCUCAAAUUUGCCUUGAGCUACUCUCUCAAUUAAGAGAUCACUGUAGUACUUAGGGAUCGAUUCCACAGAGACUCAAAGAUUACACAGUAAAUUUUUGGUAUUAAAAUUAAGCUAAGCAAG
rnacentral:lncRNA from 1 species